UACGUAGGGUGCAAGCGUUAAUCGGAAUUACUGGGCGUAAAGCGUGCGCAGGCGGUUGUGUAAGACAGAUGUGAAAUCCCCGGGCUCAACCUGGGAACUGCAUUUGUGACUGCACGGCUGGAGUGCGGCAGAGGGGGAUGGAAUUCCACGUGUAGCAGUGAAAUGCGUAGAUAUGCGGAGGAACACCGAUGGCGAAGGCAAUCCCCUGGGCCUGCACUGACGCUCAUGCACGAAAGCGUGGGGAGCAAACAGG
rnacentral:rRNA from 1 species